CCGGAGAGUAGCAGGCGCNNUAGGACAGAGGCCUUUGAAGCCUUGAAUCGGGGUUCGACUCCCUGCCCCCGAACCA
rnacentral:tRNA from 1 species